rnacentral:rRNA from 1 species
GAUGAACGCUGGCGGCGUGCCUAAUACAUGCAAGUCGAGCGAACAGACGAGGAGCUUGCUCCUCUGACGUUAGCGGCGGACGGGUGAGUAACACGUGGAUAACCUACCUACAAGACUGGGAUAACUUCGGGAAACCGGAGCUAAUACCGGAUAAUAUAUUGAACCGCAUGGUUCAAUAGUGAAAGACGGUUUUGCUGUCACUUAUAGAUGGAUCCGCGCCGCAUUAGCUAGUUGGUAAGGUAACGGCUUACCAAGGCGACGAUGCGUAGCCGACCUGAGAGGGUGAUCGGCCACACUGGAACUGAGACACGGUCCAGACUCCUACGGGAGGCAGCAGUAGGGAAUCUUCCGCAAUGGGCGAAAGCCUGACGGAGUAACGCCGCGUGAGUGAUGAAGGUCUUCGGAUCGUAAAACUCUGUUAUUAGGGAAGAACAAAUGUGUAAGUAACUAUGCACGUCUUGACGGUACCUAAUCAGAAAGCCACGGCUAACUACGUG